UACGUAGGGUGCAAGCGUUGUCCGGAAUUAUUGGGCGUAAAGAGCUCGUAGGCGGUUUGUUGCGUCGGCUGUGAAAUCCCGAGGCUCAACCUCGGGUCUGCAGUCGAUACGAGCAAACUAGAGUGUUGCAGGGGAGACUGGAAUUCCUGGUGUAGCGGUGAAAUGCGCAGAUAUCAGGAGGGAACACCGGUGGCGAAGGCGGGUCUCUGGGCAACAACUGACGCUGGAGGAGCGAAAGCGUGGGGAGCGAACAGG
rnacentral:rRNA from 1 species